CUAGCAUAUCAAUAAGCGGAGGAAAAGAAACCAACAGGGAUUGCCUCAGUAACGGCGAGUGAAGCGGCAAAAGCUCAGAUUUGAAAUCUGGCGUCAUUUUGGCGUCCGAGUUGUAAUCUGUAGAGGAGUAUUCGAGUGUGGAUUUGGCUUAAGUUCCUUGGAACAGGACGUCAUAGAGGGUGAGAACCCCGUUAACGGCCUAUGUCUUAUGCUCAUGUGAAUCUCCUUCAACGAGUCGAGUUGUUUGGGAAUGCAGCUCUAAAUGGGUGGUAAAUUCCAUCUAAAGCUAAAUACUGGCAAGAGACCGAUAGCGCACAAGUAGAGUGAUCGAAAGAUGAAAAGAACUCUGAACAGAGAGUUAAAUAGUACGUGAAAUUGUUGAAAGGGAAGCACUUGCUACCAGACACGCCUGUAGUUGAUCAACCUUCAUUUUUGAUGGUGCACUCGGCUAUAGGUGGGUCAGCAUCAGUUACAACGGUGGGAUAAAGGCCUUGGGAAUGUAGCUUCCUUCGGGAAGUGUUAUAGCCCUUGGUGUAAUACCAUCUGAUGUGACUGAGGCCCGCGCUUCGGCGAGGAUGCUGGCAUAAUGGUCGUAAGUGACCCGUCUUGAAACACGGACCAAGGAGUCUAACAUCUAUGCGAGUGUUUGGGCGUCAAAACCCUUACGCGGAAUGAAAGUGAAUGAAGGUGGGAACCGCAAGGUGCACCAUCGACCGAUCCUGAUGUUUUCGGAUGGAUUUGAGUAGGAGCAUAGCUGUUGGGACCCGAAAGAUGGUGAACUAUGCCUGAAUAGGGUGAAGCCAGAGGAAACUCUGGUGGAGGCUCGCAGCGGUUCUGACGUGCAAAUCGAUCGUCAAAUUUGGGUAUAGGGGCGA
rnacentral:rRNA from 1 species